GUCCAUGGCCACUCCACCCUGAAUGCACCCCCAUCUCGUCUAAUCUCAGAAACUAAGCAGGGUAGAGCUGGCUAGCACUUGGAUGGGAAAAUUACUUAAUGGCCUGUUAAUAAGGAUU
rnacentral:rRNA from 1 species